rnacentral:rRNA from 1 species
CCUACGGGUGGCUGCAGUGGGGAAGAUUGCACAAUGGGCGAAAGCCUGAUGCAGCAACGCCGCGUGAAGGAAGAAGGGUUUCGGCACGUAAACUUCUAUCAACAGGGACGAAAGAAAUGACGGUAGCGGAAGAAGAAGCCCCGGCUAACGACGUGCCAGCAGCCGCGGUAAUACGUAGGGGGCAAGCGUUAUCCGGAAUUACUGGGUGUAAAGGGGGAGUAGGCGGCAGGGGAAGGCAGAUGUGAAAGCCUUGGGCUUAACCCGAGGCUUGCCUUUGGAACUCUCAAGCUAGAGUACAGGUGCGGCAAGCGGAAUUCCUAGUGUAGCGGUUACAUGCCUAGAUAUUCGGCA